rnacentral:rRNA from 1 species
UGUCCCGGUUUAAGCGUGUAGGCUGGUUUUCCAGGCAAAUCCGGAAAAUCAAGGCUAAGGCGUGACGACGAGGCACUACGGUGCUGAAGCAACAAAUGCCCUGCUUCCAGGAAAAGCCUCUAAGCAUCAGGUAACAUCAAAUCGUACCCCAAACCGACACAGGUGGUCAGGUAGAGAAUACCAAGGCGCUUGAGAGAACUCGGGUGAAGGAACUAGGCAAAAUGGUGCCGUAACUUCGGGAGAAGGCACGCUGACAUGUAGGUGAAGUGAUUUACUCAUGGAGCUGAAGUCAGUCGAAGAUACCAGCUGGCUGCAACUGUUUAUUAAAAACACAGCACUGUGCAAACACGAAAGUGGACGUAUACGGUGUGACGCCUGCCCGGUGCCGGAAGGUUAAUUGAUGGGGUCAGCGCAAGCGAAGCUCCUGAUCGAAGCCCCGGUAAACGGCGGCCGUAACUAUAACGGUCCUAAGGUAGCGAAAUUCCUUGUCGGGUAAGUUCCGACCUGCACGAAUGGCGUAAUGAUGGCCAGGCUGUCUCCACCCGAGACUCAGUGAAAUUGAACUCGCUGUGAAGAUGCAGUGUACCCGCGGCAAGACGGAAAGACCCCGUGAACCUUUACUAUAGCUUGACACUGAACAUUGAGCCUUGAUGUGUAGGAUAGGUGGGAGGCUUUGAAGUGUGGACGCCAGUCUGCAUGGAGCCGACCUUGAAAUACCACCCUUUAAUGUUUGAUGUUCUAACGUGGACCCGUAAUCCGGGUUGCGGACAGUGUCUGGUGGGUAGUUUGACUGGGGCGGUCUCCUCCUAAAGAGUAACGGAGGAGCACGAAGGUUGGCUAAUCCUGGUCGGACAUCAGGAGGUUAGUGCAAUGGCAUAAGCCAGCUUGACUGCGAGCGUGACGGCGCGAGCAGGUGCGAAAGCAGGUCAUAGUGAUCCGGUGGUUCUGAAUGGAAGGGCCAUCGCUCAACGGAUAAAAGGUACUCCGGGGAUAACAGGCUGAUACCGCCCAAGAGUUCAUAUCGACGGCGGUGUUUGGCACCUCGAUGUCGGCUCAUCACAUCCUGGGGCUGAAGUAGGUCCCAAGGGUAUGGCUGUUCGCCAUUUAAAGUGGUACGCGAGCUGGGUUUAGAACGUCGUGAGACAGUUCGGUCCCUAUCUGCCGUGGGCGCUGGAGAACUGAGGGGGGCUGCUCCUAGUACGAGAGGACCGGAGUGGACGCAUCACUGGUGUUCGGGUUGUCAUGCCAAUGGCACUGCCCGGUAGCUAAAUGCGGAAGAGAUAAGUGCUGAAAGCAUCUAAGCACGAAACUUGCCCCGA